UUAGCCUUAUAGUUUUUCUGGUCCUUUUUGUGUCAGAUUUUCCUUAGUCUAUGUUCUCCUAUUGUGUGUUUGUUGUUGCAGUUAUCUGAGACUUCCUACAGACGGCUGCUUCUCUCUGCAGGACUACAGCAUCUGUCAGCCUCUGACAUCUAUGAUGCCGCAACAACUUUGAUCAAGGUGCCCAAAGGUUUAAUGUCAGAGAUAUAUGCCCCAUUGAUGAUGUCUGGCAUUAGUCAUGGCUCCUGGCUGCUCAUAGCAACUGCAACCCACUGAGUAUAAAGCGUGCUCAGCUCCUGAGCGAGCUUCAUACAGCAGGAGCAGAACUAGAGCUGCAGCAUGGAGGAGAAAAUUUCGUGAGUGUGGUUUCCUAUAAAGGCUUGUGUGAAUAAUGCCUAACACCGGAUCAGAAACGAGAGACAUAUCAAGGAAAACCAUUUCUAGGGGAUGAAAAUUGCAAGUGAAAGUCCGACUGUCCAGGUUAUUGUUAAGAUAAGAAACAAAAUCAUGAAUGAUGGAGGAGUCACAGAAAGGGAUUGUCCGGUGAAUGGAUGAAUCUUUCCUCCCACAGAGCCAUAUAGAGGUUGGCCAAUGAUGGUGAGAAUUUGGCCCCCAUCGGACAACCCCUGGUCUGCAGGAGGAAAGAUCCAUCAAAGCAAAAAUAAUUGUUGGUGAGCAGAAAAAAUUUAACAUUAAGAAUGUACUGUUGUAAAAUAGGAUCAUAAUUGCUGUUUGUUUUUAGAUGGUACUCUAGAGCUCUAUCGUUGGGAAUUACACUAUAGAGUGACAUAAUAUUACAAAUCAGCCACGAUAAGUCUUGGUCCCACUUAAAAUCCUAAAUGGAAACAAGUAAUUCUUUAGUGUCCCUGAUACAGCCAGGGACCCUGACUACUAGCGGUUGUAAAAGGCUAUCUAGCCACAUGGAUAGUUUCUCAGUGACAGAUCCUAUUCCUGAGACAAUGGGACGUAGGGGUGGGGGAAAAACAUUUUUAUGUUUUUUUUUGGCAAACAGUAAAAAAUGGGACAAACUGGGUUGGGGACAAACUGGGUUGGGGACAAAUAAACGUUCCUCCAUAUUUUUUGAGAAAAUUCCCAAAAUGAUACCCUCACUCAAAAUAUUCUUAAGUUUGGUUUGUACAUCACUGGUGGUGCAAUUCAUUCCCAAGCAUAUCCCAAACCUGGUUGCGAUACAAUUCGUGGUCCAAUAAAACCAUGGAUCCGCUUUUGUCUGAUGACCUCACUAUUAUAUCAGCAAAAUUCUGCAACUCUUUUAAUGUGUGGUUGUAUUGGACGGCGAAGAACCCUCAGAUUAGACGGAUCUGUCUAAAUCAAAAAGUUCCAUGCACGGUGCUCGAGCAUUCACUGGGUAGAAAUUUUCAUUCUGUGGACAGAAUACUUGUUCCAUAUGCUGAUGUUCCAAUUCAUUAAGCUCCUUGAAAGAGACCUGUUCACUCAGUG